rfam:Ictidomys tridecemlineatus contig098855, whole genome shotgun sequence.
GGGGUUGUGGCUCAGCAGCAGAGCGCUCGCCUAGCACGUGCGGGGUGCUGGGUUCGAUCCUCAGCACCACCU